rnacentral:rRNA from 1 species
UCAGUAACACGUGGAUAACCUGCCCUUAGGGACUGGCAUAACCCCGGGAAAAUGGGGAUAAUUCCGGAUAGUUCAUGGUAGCUGGAAUGCUCCAUGAUCGAAAAGCUAUUGCGCCUAAGGAUGGGUCUGCGGUCUAUCAGGUAGUAGUGGGUGUAAUGUACCUACUAGCCGACGACGGAUACGGGUUGUGGGAGCAAGAGCCCGGAGAUGGAUUCUGAGACAUGAAUCCAGGCCCUACGGGGCGCAGCAGGCGCGAAAACUUUACAAUGCGGGAAACCGCGAUAAGGGGACACCGAGUGCCAGCAUCUUAUGUUGGCUGUCCGCAUGUAUAAAUCACAUGUGUUAGCAAGGGCCGGGCAAGACCGGUGCCAGCCGCCGCGGUAACACCGGCGGCCCGAGUGGUGGCCACUAUUAUUGGGUCUAAAGGGUCCGUAGCCGGUUUGGUCAGUCUUCCGGGAAAUCUGACGGCUUAACCGUUAGGCUUUCGGGGGAUACUACCAGGCUUGGGACCGGGAGAGGUAAGAGGUACUACGGGGGUAGGAGUGAAAUCUUGUAAUCCUCGUGGGACCACCAGUGGCGAAGGCGUCUUACCAGAACGGGUCCGACGGUGAGGGACGAAAGCUGGGGGCACGAACCGGAUUAGAUACCCGGGUAGUCCCAGCCGUAAACUAUGCUCGCUAGGUGUCAGGGACGGUGCGACCGUUUCUGGUGCCGCAGGGAAGCCGUGAAGCGAGCCACCUGGGAAGUACGGUCGCAAGGCUGAAACUUAAAGGAAUUGGCGGGGGAGCACUACAACGGGUGGAGCCUGCGGUUUAAUUGGACUCAACGCCGGAAAACUCACCGGGGGCGACAGCAAUAUGUAGUCAAG